GACGAACGCUGGCGGCGUGCUUAACACAUGCAAGUCGAACGGUAAGGCCCCUCUUGGGGUACACGAGCGGGGAACGGGCGAGUAACACGCGGGUGAUUCGCCCUGCACUUCGGGAUAAGCCUGGGAAACUGGGUCUAAUUCCGGCCAGGACCACGCUCUGGAUGGAGGGUGGUGGUAAGCUUUUGCGGUGUGGGAUGGGCCCGCGGCCUAUCAGCUUGUUGGUGGGGUGAUGGCCUACCAAGGCGACGAUGGGUAGCCGGCCUGAGAGGGUGUCCGGCCACACUGGGACUGAGAUACGGCCCAGACUCCUACGGGAGGCAGCAGUGGGGAAUAUUGCACAAUGGGCGCAAGCCUGAUGCAGCGACGCCGCGUGGGGGAUGACGGCCUUCGGGUUGUAAACCUCUUUCAGUACCGACGAAGCGCAAGUGACGGUAGGUACAGAAGAAGCACCGGCCAACUACGUG
rnacentral:rRNA from 1 species